rnacentral:rRNA from 1 species
UACGUAGGGCGCAAGCGUUGUCCGGAAUUAUUGGGCGUAAAGAGCUCGUAGGCGGUUCGUCGCGUCGGCUGUGAAAACCUGAGGCUCAACCCCGGGCCUGCAGUCGAUACGGGCAGACUAGAGUGCGGUAGGGGAGACUGGAAUUCCUGGUGUAGCGGUGAAAUGCGCAGAUAUCAGGAGGAACACCGAUGGCGAAGGCAGGUCUCUGGGCCACUACUGACGCUGAGAAGCGAAAGCAUGGGGAGCGAACAGG